AUGCUUGAGGAUUUCUUUACUCUGACUGAGAUAAAGGAUGGCAUUUCAACUACGGCAAGAAUAGCAGAGCUGGUUUCUGAGAUCCAAAAGCUGAGAGAUGCUGCUGAUUUUAGUACAGCUGAUUUCAUAAGGCAGUGUUCAACAGCUGCAAAAACACUUGGAUCUACCAACAAUGAAGAAUGUCUUCAGCAUUUUGUUCAGCUAAAUGGUAUUGGUUAUCUCAAUCAGUGGCUUCAGGAUGCUCAAAACUGCAGCAAGGAAGUCAGCAGUUCAGCAGAAGGUUUGAUAAAUGAAAUAUUAACUGCAUUGGAGCGGCUACCAGUUGAUGAUAUACAUAAAGCUCCUUGUGGUUUAAUUCCCACUGUUCAUCAGCUACUUUCUCAUGAAAAUACAGAGAUCAGUCAAAAGGCAAGAUUACUUUGCCAGAAAUGGAGCAGUGCACCAAAUUAUGGGGAAAAUGACCGACAAAUAGAUGCAAAAGAAGCGUACCAGGCUGCUGAUCUUAAGCCCCCAGAAGCUAGCCAGGAAAUGGAAAAUAAUAAACACGGCGGAGCAAAUGAAGCUGCAACUGCAGAAGCUAAAUCAAACCAUGAUACAUUAACUUCCUCGGUUGUUCCUUUGCAGGAUCUGUCCCUUAUCAAUAAUAACACAGACAUGACAAAGCAGCCUCCAAUGCCAGCAUCCCCAAAUUCCUCGGAUGGACAGGAGGUUUUAGUGCAGGUGAACUCCUCAGUUUCAUCUCUUGCAUCUCAGGGCGGCCUACCGAAUGCGUCUGUUACCGAGGAGACUUCUUCCUCCAAUGACGUAGGUUUAGUCACCAAUGGCAAGUUGUCAGAUACUCUCAACCUAAAGAGUGACACUGGGCAUGUUACUCAAGUAAUAGGUUCGACCAUAGAUGCCAAGUGUCUUGAGAAUGUCAACUCAGAGAACUCAUUUGACAGUAUCAAAAUUGAUUUGGGGGACCAAAAUGUUUCAAGUAGCUUGGAUAUCAAAAAAGGCAAUUCCUUUGCAGCAGGUCAGUCGUGCUCUGAUAAUAAUGCAAUUGAAGCUUUGAACCAUCUUGCAAAUGCAAGCGGUAGUUUGCAAUAUUCGUCGGAGGACAGCAUGGGCAAAGAAGAAGGGCCUACAUCAUCAUCAGGUACAGAUGAUAAAGACACUGGCGGUGAAUUUUGGUUGACAAGAUCUGCGAAGAGCUUUGGGGAUUCCUCAAAGGCAGCAGAGACAAAGUUGAAUGCAGUAGAGGGAGAGAAGUCACCACCAUCGACAGAGUAUGAUGAUACUGAUGCACUGGAAGUAGCACGUCUCGUUGCAAUUGAGGUGGAGCGGGAAGUAAUUGACUACAGGGGAGACUAUUGCAGUUCUCCUGACAUUAGUUCCAAAAAUGUAGAUAGUCCUCAUGUGGAAGCAAGGCAGCACACUGAACCCCCUGUUCAUGAAUCAAAUGAGAAUAAAUCCUCCACUACGGUGGUGGAUUCAGGAAAUUCCUCGUCUCUUAAGGAGGAUGGUGUGGGCAUCACAGAUGACAGCGGUCCUAUUAAUAGCAGAAAGAACACACAGGGUGUGGAUAUGGUAGACUUUGAUCUUAAUGCAAAUCAGUACCAUGAGGAAACCGAUUAUCAUCCAAAGUCCAGUGCUAAUAAUUCUGUAAAUUUAUCAACUCCUAUAGCUGUGGCUGCUUCUAGAGGCUCACUUGUAUUUCCAGCUCGCCUCCAAUUCGAAGGUGCACUGGGGUGGAAAGGCUCUGCUGCAACCAGUGCUUUUCGGCCAGCUUCUGUUCCGCGUACUCCUGACAGAGAGAAGUCAAUGUCAGCCUCUUCACAGAAAACAAGAAAUGUGAUGUUUGACUUGAAUGUAGAUGAAAGUGAAAAUACUAUUGCUGGUGAGUCACUUUCAACAGCCUUCUGGCUUCGUUCUUCCGACAUAGCUCCCAAGGAUAUCUCUGGAGCUGAUGGUGCUAGUACGGGGCUUGAACUUGACCUUAAUAACCCAUGUGAAGAGGAGGAAGCUGCUACCACCUCACCUGCUGUACCAUCAUUCUGGAGUCAUGAACAAUGUCAUGGCAGAUGGAGCCAGCCCUCUUCCUCUUCAUCUUCAAGGCAACCUACUGCAAAGAACUUUGACUUGAAUGACAAUGUAUCCUUCUUUGAUGCCUCUUCCCGAGGCAAGGGGGAGUCCUAUGUCAAGACUUCCACGAACAAUACAUCAGACCAUUCUGAAGUCAUGAUUAUGGGCAAGAGAGUUGCACUUGGACAGAAGGAGCACCGCAGCCCAAACCAGUAUAACUUUCUGGGGCCAAGUAUGGAAUCUAGUCUCCUUGUGAGGUCAACGCAGUCAUAUGCACACACGCCUCCUGAUUUCAGUGUUUUCGGCUAUCCUUCUCAACCUGCUGCCAUGCCUUUGCCUCCUCCUCUCUAUGCACCUGGAGGUGCUCCUUACAUGGUUGAUGCUAGGGGUGCAGCAGUGGUGCCUCCAUUGCCGGGCCUAGGUGUUGGCAUUUCUCAUCCAUCUUUCACCAGCAGAACAAUUCAACCUGUGCCUAGUGAAUUUGGCUACAUGAAUGCAAGCAUGGAUUUCAACUAUGCUCUCUCAUCUGAAGGCGCACGAAGGGAAGUUGGCGGCUAUUGGCCUGUGCCAUUCCAAGGUCAUACCGUCUUUCUUGAUGAACGUAUGAGAAGUACAUCACAAGGUGGCAGCUCUGGUACUGGGUUGGUAUCGAAGCGGAAAGAACCUGACUCAGGUUGGGAUAUCUACCCCCGGCGCUGA
rnacentral:rRNA from 1 species